AGUGAACGCUGGCGGCAUGCCUAACACAUGCAAGUCGAACGGCAGCACAGCAGUAGCAAUACUGUGGGUGGCGAGUGGCGGACGGGUGAGGAACACAUCGGAAUUUGCCCAGUCGUGGGGGAUAACGUAGGGAAACUUACGCUAAUACCGCAUACGACCUUACGGUGAAAGCGGGGGAUCGCAAGACCUCGCGCGGAUGGAUGAGCCGAUGUCGGAUUAGCUAGUUGGUGGGGUAAAGGCCUACCAAGGCGACGAUCCGUAGCUGGUCUGAGAGGAUGAUCAGCCACACUGGGACUGAGACACGGCCCAGACUCCUACGGGAGGCAGCAGUGGGGAAUAUUGGACAAUGGGGGCAACCCUGAUCCAGCAAUGCCGCGUGUGUGAAGAAGGCCUUCGGUUGUAAGCACUUUAUCCGGUAACGAACGUAGCGGGUGGAAUAGCCUCGUAAACUGACGGUACCGGAGGAAGUAAGCACCGGCUAACUUCGUGCCAGC
rnacentral:rRNA from 1 species